ACCAUCCUCCUCCCAUUCUUCCCCCAUUGCCUCAUUUCAAAGCUUCCAUUAUGAAGGGAUGAGGAUGAGUCACCUAGUCUAAGUGGUGAGACACCUAGCCUAAGGGAUUUUUCUUGAUGAAGCUAAGAACUAGGGGAGGUGAGUUGCUGGUAGGAGAGAGAGAGAGAGAGAGAGAAGAAGAAGAAAAUUAAGAACAAGGAGAAAAAGAAGAAGAUAAGAGAAGAAAAAAUCUCUAAGGAAUUGGAUCAAAAGUGUAGAUUCGACAACUCCGAGAAUCUUCGAAGGGUAAAUUUGGUACUUUAGCUAGCUUGACUUGAGGUAGGGUUUCCUGAUUCCCAAUGAUUGGGCUAUGUCACUUUUAAUCUUGGUGCUUAUAUAUAGUACUAUAAAUAUGAAUAUUAUUGUUGCUUUGCUCGGCGAAUAUUAUUUGAUGUUAUGUGAAUACUAUUAUUGAUGUUUUUUCGUGGAUUUUAUUUGAUGUUGGGUGAAUAUUAUUAUUCAUGUGAUGAAGCUUGCAAUAUUAUUUUUAUUAUUUGUAUUAUUAUUCAACAGAGAUAAAUGAUGUUUUCGUUGCAUUACAUAUGCAUUAUAAAUACAGUGGUGUUAAGGGGGUGUAUGUCGUUUGACGUGUAUCUAAAGGGUGGGAGAAGGCCUUAGAUAUAUAUGAGUAAAAAUGCGGAAUACAUUCAAGUGAUGGGAGCAGAGCUUGAAUAUAUUGAGGUGAUGGGAAUAGGGCCUCUAAAGAAAAGUGAAAGUUGAGAAAUUCGUAAACAAAAGAAAAAUAGGUUAAGAGACGGAUGAGCGCUAGUUCAUAUUUUAGGGUAUUCAAAGCUACAUUGGUAAAACGAAUGGUAUGGGACAUGUAGGCUUGUUGCCCUAAGAUAUGAAUUAGUGGGAUUAGAAGGGAUUUUGUUCAUGGCAUCACUGCAUAUGCAAAUUUAUUUAUCUAGUAUGAUUGCAUAAUUUCUAUAUCUUGCGUUGUUUGAUGCAUGACACUUUGAUUAACUGUGGUAGCUGACCUUGAGGGGUUUGACGGAACUCUAUUGGGCAUUAGAAUGCUCAUACCCUAAUAGAUUGUGCAUGAUUCAAGGCGAAGUUUGAAGAAGCGGGUUUCAACCAAGCUACUAGGUUUUUGUUGACGAUUUGUGUAAUUAACAUUUGUAAGUAGUCAACCGUUUGAUAAAGAUCUUAGUGUGUAUUUAACUA